ACGCCCGCCCACUUCCGGGAUCUCGAAGAAGUUGAGCUUCGGGGUUGCGGUGGUGGGGCGAGCUGCCCGCGCUCCCGGGACCGAGGCGGGCCUGCAGACCGCCCGCCGCCCCCCAGGACCCGGCUGGUCGCCCCCUAAGACCGCCCGCCACCCCCAGGUCCACCUGCCGGAGCAGGCGGUGUGUUCUCUGGGCCACAGGCGAGGAGAGGGGCCAGUUAUGGUCACGCCUCUUUCUCCCCAAGUGGUAAAGCUCAUCUAUUAAAGGAAGCUUUAGGAAUGCGAGUUUCGGGAUUGUUUGACAAGCUACUUCACUGCCUGGUGUAGUUCUUUGGGCAUCAUGAAGCAAACAGCCAGGCUGUGAACAGCCUCCGGGGACCGGGGGCAGCCUCUAGAUCCCAGGGCAGCCAACAAGAAGCCAGGACCCUCAGUCAUCAGCUGCGAGGAAAUGAAUCCUGUAAACACCGUGCAUGGGCCUGGCAGCGGAUUCUCCUCACUGAGACCUCCAGGGGCCCCAGGCAGCAACCGGUGCUCAGAGGCAGUAACCACACUUGGCUGAUGGCCGCUCACUUGGUGCCGCGUGCCGUGUCCUGGACCUCUCACAAAGGUCGGCAGGCUAAGGAGACGGAGUAGCGGACCCCAGACGGCCCGGCCUCCUGGCUCUCAGGCAUGGUGUGAGGGGCGCCUGGAGAGAUGGGAGGCCUGCAGGUGACAGAGGCCAGGACCCGCAGCCCUGAGAUGGAAAAGCAGGCUGUGUCACCUUUAAAAGAAAGACCACACGAUUACACCUCCAACAGGCUACAGGUAGGAAGACAGGAAGAGACCUGUUUUCACUAAAGGCCACUCCUCCUAAAUGAAAGGGAUAAGGGUUAUGUAGUGGGUAGCGCCAAAGACCAAAACUUACGCUACAGCACCCAGCUCUGCUUGCUGUAAGGAUGUGAACUGCAGGUAACAGCUCGGUUUGCCAACGGGUUCCUUGGGCAAGGCGGUUCGUGGUAAGCAUCUGGGAACCCUCCCACACAGCACACCUGUUACCGCUUUCCACCUGCAGCAGCUGAAAGUACGGGCAGCCCAGGGAGCACAGGACAUGCCCUGAACAGAGUGCACGCCUCCGGGGUCCUCCCACCAGCUCCCCGCACAGACCCCGGGUACCCGCUCCUCCUGGCGGAGGUGCAUGACACCACUCCCCUUUCCUUGGGUCUUUGUCAAAACUGCAGAAGGCACUUGUCCACAGAAAGUAAAGGGAGGAACCCGUGAAAGCAGACGAAUGAACAGUGGCCCCAUCUGAGGGGGGCCUGGCUCCUGGAAUUUCAGGGGUUAUUCGUGUCAACAUUCCCCACCCCUCCAGUCCCUGCUGACACUUUCUAGGGACACAGGAAAAACCCUGACGCUGGGCUUUUGUCUUUGGUGCCGGUCACAUUUUGUCACCUGAGUGGCUCUCCCGCCCCUACAGACCAUAAGUCAUGGUUUUCAUCAAGGAUCCCCUGGGCAGUGCUCUUAAACGGGCUUCUCACCGAACCCUCCGAGCUCCCAGAGGUGAAAUCUGGUUGGUGGCACCUCGAGCCUCUUCCUAGUGGCGGGACUCCAGGCUCAGAACCUGAGAAUCUUGGAUUGUGAGCCAGCAUUCUGUCCCCCCAGAGACCCGGCCCUUCCCGCGAUGGCCCCACCCCCGUGGCCUUCUCCAUCACCCAUUCAUGACGGCCCCUGCCCACCUUCUGCUGGCGCGUGAGUGGACUCUUCCUGGCUCCCGCCCUCAGGCUCCCGCCCACCGGCCAGGGGCAUCUCACUGAAGCCAGCCAUGUCCACCGUGCAGGGAGCAGGAAAACUCAGGUAUGUGGCAGAAUAGACUAAUGACCGAGAGAGCAGGAGACCAAGACUCUCCCAGGCCCCGCAGGGCCCCUUAAAAAUGACUGACGAUGAGGGGAGGCGGAUGGGUGACCCACAGAGGUCCUGCCCUGACCUAAGGAAGUGACCUCUCCCCUCAGCUUGGGAGUGGUCAUUUGCUUGGCCCCAACCAAAGAAGAUGCCUGCUGUCACCAACUUCAGUGCUCUGGUAAAUGGGAACGAGUCCACUUGGCGGCAGAUUUCAAAGGGAAGUACUUGCUGUAAAGCUGAGUAACUUUCACUGAUGCCCGGCAGGGGGUAGAAAAUUUGAGCGGACCAUCAUUUCCCCUGAAUGAUACUCUGUAAUCACAAAAUAUUGAGUGAGUCCCAAAGAGCCGUCAUCGUCUUAACGAGUGUCUCUCCUACUACCUGGGCACUCUUGAUUUUAUAAAACCAGGAAUGGCCUUCUGGAAUGGUCCAGACCUAUUUCUAGCCUGAAGCGGGGGUGGGGGUGGGGUGGGGGACACACCUCACAGUCUCUGGGCUGGAGCUCAGUCUGGAGGCAGAAGGACCUAGGUUUGAACCCUCACCUGGGCAAGUGACCCUGAGUUCCUCCAUUAGACAUUCAUUGAGCACCUACUACGUUCCAGGCACUGGGGAUGCAGAGAUAAGUUACAAGGGGUUCAGUGGACCCAGCUCAGUGGGGAGGUGGCCUCUUUCCUCCAAGUUGGGGGUGAUACCUGAGUAUCACGGCCUUGAUACGAAGUAUGAGUCCCUACAGCAUCCAAUGCAUAGCAGGAGCGGGAUACACGUUGGUUUCUCUCUUGAAGUUCCAUUUAGAAUUGGCGAUUCUGUCAUUCUGGAAGGUGAUGGGGUAAAACUGCCCCCCACAGAAGAGACGUUGUUGUAUUUCUGAAAGGAUGGUGGGUAUCUUCGUGUAAGGAAGCCUGGCUCCCAGAGGUGAAGUGACUUGUCCAAGUCACACAGGGAGUUUGUAGAACCGUCAGGAUGGGGACCACAUGCCGCCUCAGCAUCCAAAUGUGGCUGCAGUUUUCUUGGACCCCCCCCCGCCCUCAGUCAAGAAGUCCUGGAGAAGCACCCUGUUCUGUUACUCUGAAUGUGGCAGAUGAAAAAGGCGUUCAGUUCAUCUUGCGCGUGGUUGCCAUAAAUGUGUGGACUUUUGUGUUUUAGCUCAUCGUUAGUCCAGAUACAUCACUGACAUCUAUUGAUACUGCAGUGUGUUCAGAGGUUUUGAGUACAGCUGCUUGGUAACUUAUUUAGCUAGAAACUUUCUAUUCAGAACUUACUCUCUGUUCUUGCGAGAAUUGCUAGAAAAUGUUGACUUAAGGAGAUGCUUCUGUGUUUCAUUGCACAAGUAAGUGUGUUCUACUGGGCAGGAUUAUGCAGUGAGGACCACCUCUUAGAGACUGAAGGGCGUAGUAUGGAUUUAAAUGUAGUAAAACAUCCAGGCAGACCUCGGAGGUAUUUUGGGUUUGGUUCCAGACCACCGCAAUAAAGCGGGUCACACAAUUUUUUUCUUUUCCCAGUGCAUAGAAAAGUUAUGUUUACAGCACACUAGUCUAAGUGUGCAAUAGCAUUAGGUCUAAAACAAAAUGUGCAUACCUUAAUUAAAAAAUAAUUUAUUGAUAA